GAAGGCGUUUGAAGGUAAUGCUCUCACCCUUUUUCUGGGCUGGUGUACUGUUGUAAGCCCACCGGAUCGCUUGAGCCCACGAGUUCUGGGCUGCAGUGCACUAUGUGUCUGCACUAAGGCCGGCAUCAAUAUGGUGAGCCCCAAGGAGUCAGGGGACACCAGGUUGACUAAGAAAGGGUGCACCAGCCCAGGUUGGAGAUAGAGCAAGUCAAAGCUCCUGUGCCGGUCAGUAGUGGGCUCACACCUGUUAAUAGCCACUGCAGCAUAGCCUGGGCAACACAGAGAGAUGUAGGCUCCU
rnacentral:SRP_RNA from 1 species